ensembl:lncRNA
CUUACUUUGGUGUCUUUGAAGUACUGCUAACUUCCCUCUGGGAUUUAUUUGUGUUUGUUGCCAGGGUUUAUAUCCUGAUGGGUGCCAGAUGACAGACUCCUCCACAUUUCAGACUGACAGGAACCACAUGAUGGAUAUCUCAGGAGGUGGAGAUUGCAAAAGUUCUUUAUCAAUAAGUUGCCAGCCAUCAUCUCAAGAGUCUAGAUUUGCUACUUGAAAUAUGCAGCAUAUGAAAUGUGAAAACGACGUGUCAUAUUGCAUCCUAAUUAGAAAUGUCCCACAGGCAAUUGUUUACUGUAUGAAUUACACGGGAUGUUUCAAAACUACUGCCUCCUUUUUAAUUACCUCGGCCCACAACGUCAGAGACAGAUGUUGGUUGUAUGACAGCAGAGGUUGAACCUGUGACAUGUUGUUGCCAUGUGACAGAUGGCAGCAGAAGGGCAGUCUGAAGGAAUGGUGCCUGGCAUGGAAAUGCAGGUGAAGCAAAGUAGCGUCACUGAAUUCCUCCAUGUGGAAAAAAUGGCACUUACUGACAUUUGCUGAUAUUUGCUGUUCAUUUAUGGAGACCAAACAGUGUAUAUGAGCACAUUGAGGCAAUGGGCGUUGCAUUCCAGCAGUGGCAACAGAAACGGUGGGUCACUUUUGCUGGUGCAGACUGUUACAAGCGCGGCAUGCAGGCUCCUUCCUGUUCAUCCUGGUGAAAAUGCAUAGCCAAUGGUG